rnacentral:rRNA from 1 species
UACGUAGGGGCCGAGCGUUGUCCGGAGUUACUGGGCGUAAAGCGCACGUAGGCGGCUUUCUAAGUCGGGGGGUGAAAUCCUGGAGCUCAACUCCAGAACUGCCUUCGAUACUGGAGAGCUUGAGUCCGGGAGAGGUGAGUGGAACUGCGAGUGUAGAGGUGAAAUUUGUAGAUAUUCGCAAGAACACCAGUGGCGAAGGCGGCUCACUGGCCCGGUACUGACGCUGAGGUGCGAAAGCGUGGGGAGCAAACAGG